rnacentral:tRNA from 1 species
GCCCGAUUAGCUCAGUCGGUAGAGCGCACGGCUGUUAACCGUUAGGUCGCUGGUUCGAGUCCAGCAUCGGGCGCCA